AUUGAACGCUGGCGGCAUGUCUUACACAUGCAAGUCGAACGGUAACAGGUCUUCGGAUGCUGACGAGUGGCGAACGGGUGAGUAAUACAUCGGAACGUGCCUAGUAGUGGGGGAUAACUACUCGAAAGAGUGGCUAAUACCGCAUGAGAUCUACGGAUGAAAGCAGGGGAUCGCAAGACCUUGUGCUACUAGAGCGGCCGAUGGCAGAUUAGGUAGUUGGUGGGAUAAAAGCUUACCAAGCCGACGAUCUGUAGCUGGUCUGAGAGGACGAUCAGCCACACUGGGACUGAGACACGGCCCAGACUCCUACGGGAGGCAGCAGUGGGGAAUUUUGGACAAUGGGCGAAAGCCUGACCCAGCAAUGCCGCGUGCAGGAUGAAGGCCUUCGGGUUGUAAACUGCUUUUGUACGGAACGAAAAGCCCCGGGUUAAUACCCUGGGGUCAUGACGGUACCGUAAGAAUAAGCACCGGCUAACUACGUGCCAGCAGCCGCGGUAA
rnacentral:rRNA from 1 species